rnacentral:misc_RNA from 1 species
GAAAUGCGAUACGUAAUGUGACUUGCAUUUAUUUGUGAAUCAUCGAAUCUUUGAACGCAACUUGCACUCUCUGGAUCUACUGGAGAGUAUACUUGUUUGAGUAUCAGAAUAAUCUAUCCAACUCUGGUUGGGAUAUGAACUCUAUCUCUGAUUAGUUCUAAAUGUAUUGCGAUAAAAAGCGUGGUAAAAGACGGUUGUUCUUUCCCGCUGAGUAUAUCAAAGACUAUUUUGAAUUAUGAUCUCAAAUCAAGUAAGAGUACCCGCUGAACUUAA